ACACGACUACAUUAGAUACCCCGGUAGUCCCAGCCCUAAACGAUGCGCGUUAGGUGUAUCGGUGACCACGAGUCACCGAGGUGCCGAAGGGAAACCGUGAAACGUACCGCCUGGGAAGUACGGUCGCAAGGCUGAGACUUAAAGGAAUUGGCGGGGAGCACCACAGCGGGUGGAGCCUGCGGUUUAAUUGGACUCAACGCCGGGAAGCUCACCGGAUAAGACAGCGGAAUGAUUGCCGGGCUGAAGACCCUGCAUGACCAGCUG
rnacentral:rRNA from 1 species